rnacentral:lncRNA from 1 species
AUAUUUUCUGUUUUUCAUUUUCCUUUUCUAGCAUGGAUAGAAUGGUUUUGACAUAUUGAAUGUGGAUGUCUUUCUUAUGGCUAACCACUCUGUUAUUCAUUUAGAAAUGGAAAGUUAUGCAUCUUCCAUAGCGACACAACAAAAUGGAUGGGGAAAUGUUUCCAUUUAUGACCAUCGAGCCAGUUGUUUGAUAUGCUAAUCUUACUGUUAUUUCCCCCUAUAGCUUUUGUAAUUUAAGUAUAUUAUUCACUCUUUUGGGUAUGCAUUGGUAAUAUUCAACCCUUUAGCAUUUAAAUUGGUCAUAUCUGGCCCAAAGAUCCUAUCUGUUUUACAUUCUGACCAGAUCCAGCUCUCACACCUACCCUACAAUGUCAUUCUAAAGAUAAACAAAUAUAUUAUCAAUAUCUGAAUGCUUUGAGAGAAUGCAUGAUGAAUUUUUUUAAAUGCGAAUAAGCAUUACAUUUGACAGAAUAAUCUGAAUGCUAAAGACUUAAUUUUUGUAGCUGUUUAAUAAACGUUUUAGUUGAAAUUAAUAUAUUCAUGUAAGAAAAGUAAAUACUUUGUGAAAGCUGCUUUCUAUGCUUAUGGAAUGAAGUAAGCAAAAAUAAUAUGAUAGAGGUUUUGAAAAUAGACCAAUAUGCAUAACUUCAUCUUCUGUGAGGUUUAUCUUUGUCUGUAGAUGCAUCUUGCAUCCACCAUAAGAUUGCAUUGUGUCCAGAUUUAGAUCAGCAAAGUAUUCUUUCCUUCCAGGAAUGCUCUUCUCUGUAGAAGGAAGAACCCCAAAGUGUGUAGACUGUAGAUGAGGAAGUUUCUCCGGUCAAGCCAAAUACCUCUAUGCAUUGAGAGGUCACAGCUCUAGUACUACAGAUAUGUGAUUUAAAUGUUGCUGAAAAGAACCACAAGAUAGAUUCUUCAAGCUGAGCCAACCAGCGGGAGACCUAGGGGAAACCAAGAAUAAGACGGUUGGAUAAUAUCCUUAGUGUCAAUUUGCCAUGCUUAGGAAUCCAGCCUCAAAAGGUGUCUGAGGACUCUGCCCCCAUGACUUUCCCUGGAAUAGUGGGCAGAGAAGAUGGAUUGAUAUGUAUUUUUUUUUUUGGUUAUACAUAUGAAUCAAUAAUAAGGUUGAAAUCAUUAAAGAAACUAUGAGGGUGGACUGAGAAGUUCAUAGGCUGACUAUGCAAGAGUAAUGCUAGAGCUAUAAAAUCUUGCAUACAUUAAUUUCAACUCUUCUGACAUCUGACUGUUCAAAGAAGACUUCAAAAGUAACUAGUUGCAACUUUUCUUGAAAAUGGGCAAAAUUUGGCAUUGAGUGUUUUCAAUUAUCUGCAAGAAAAGGGUUUAGCCUUUAAGGACAUUCAUGCCAAUAUGGUUGCUAUAUUAGGGGAUGACACUGCAGUUUAGCCAACUGUGCAAAAUUGGGCAGGAGAAUUUUGGAGUGGAAGGGGCGAAUCUUGAAGGUGACUCAAAGUCUUGGACGUCCUGCAACUGCUAUCACUGAGGAAAACAUUGAUUAUGUUCAAUUGCACAUAACAAUUGCUAUUAACAUAAUCUGUGAGUGAGUUGAGAAAAUUCUGCUCAAUGAUUUUGGCAUGAUGGUUUCUGCAUGGUGAGUGCCAUUUCUUCUGGCAUCUAAUCAUGGGCACACAAGGCUGAUCACAUCAUGGGAAGAUCUGACAUUGUUUGAGGCAGACUUAGCUGGUUUCCUAGAACAUUUCCUAAUCCAAGAUAAGUAAUGGGUCCAUCACUUUGAGUUAGAGGCAAUCCAUGCAGUGAAAACACCCUUCCUUAUCUGCUCCCCCCCCAAAAAAAAGGGCCAUGGUUGUUUCAUAUGCAGGGAAUGUGAUGGCUUCAGCCUUUUGGGAUGCAAAAGGCAUUAUGUUUAUUGAC